rnacentral:rRNA from 1 species
UACGGGGGGAGCAAGCGUUGUUCGGAUUUACUGGGCGUAAAGGGCGGGUAGGCGGCCACCGCAAGUCAGUUGUGAAAUCUCUGGGCUUAACCCAGAAAGGUCAACUGAUACUGCGGGGCUAGAGUGCAGAAGGGGCAACUGGAAUUCUCGGUGUAGCGGUGAAAUGCGUAGAUAUCGAGAGGAACACCUGCGGCGAAGGCGGGUUGCUGGGCUGACACUGACGCUGAUGCGCGAAAGCUAGGGGAGCGAACGGG